UACGAAGGGGGCUAGCGUUGCUCGGAAUCACUGGGCGUAAAGGGUGCGUAGGCGGGUCUUUUAAGUCAGGGGUGAAAUCCUGGAGCUCAACUCCAGAACUGCCUUUGAUACUGAAGAUCUUGAGUUCGGGAGAGGUGAGUGGAACUGCGAGUGUAGAGGUGAAAUUCGUAGAUAUUCGCAAGAACACCAGUGGCGAAGGCGGCUCACUGGCCCGAUACUGACGCUGAGGCACGGAAAAGCGUGGGGAGCAAACAGG
rnacentral:rRNA from 1 species